CAAUAUGACUCUCGGCAACGGAUAUCUUGGCUCUUGCAUCGAUGAAGAACGCAGCGAAAUGCGAUACGUGGUGUGAAUUGCAGAAUCCCGUGAAUCAUCGAGUUUUUGAACGCAAGUUGCGCCCGAUGCCCUAGGCUGAGGGCAUGCCUGCCUGGGCGU
rnacentral:rRNA from 1 species